rnacentral:pre_miRNA from 1 species
CAAGUACUCCCUCAGUUCGGAAUUACUCGUCUAAGAAAUGAAUGUAUCUAGAUGUAUUUUAGUUGUAGAUACAUCCAUUUUUGUGACAAGUAAUUCCGAAUGGAGGGAGUAGUAU